rnacentral:rRNA from 1 species
CCUACGGGAGGCAGCAGUGGGGAAUAUUGCACAAUGGGGGAAACCCUGAUGCAGCGACGCCGCGUGAGUGAAGAAGUAUUUCGGGAUGUAAAGCUCUAUCAGCAGGGAAGAAAAUGACGGUACGUGACUAAGAAGCCCCGGCUAACUACGUGCCAGCAGCCGCGGUAAUACGUAGGGGGCAAGCGUUAUCCGGAUUUACUGGGUGUAAAGGGAGCGUAGACGGCCAGACAAGUCAGUAGUGAAAGCCUGGGGCUCAACCUUGGGAUUGCUUUUGAAACUGGCGGGCUUGAGUGCAGGAGAGGUAAGCGGAAUUCCUGGUGUAGCGGUGAAAUGCGUAGAUAUUAGGAAGAACACCAGUGGCGAAGGCGGCUUACUGGACUGUAACUGACGUUGAGGCUCGAAAGCGUGGGGAGCAAACAGGAUUAGAUACCCGAGUAGUC